AGUAUGCCAAAAGCAUCAAGAAUCCGGUGACCAUUGGCACAUGAUUCAAAAUGAAAUUUGAAAUGGAUGAAUCACCUGAAAGAAGGUGUACUAGUGGUAUAGUGACUGGAAUGAGUGAUUUGGAUCCAUACAGAUGGCCUAAAUCAAAAUGGAGGUGCUUAAUGCCCCAAAUCGAAAGUCACUGGAACUAGACCAGAUGUUGAGGUGAGCUUCACUUAUUCAUCUCAAGAAUACAUUGUAUAUAGAUUAU